rnacentral:rRNA from 1 species
GGACGAACGCUGGCGGCGUGCCUAACACAUGCAAGUCGAACGAAGAAUGUUUUUCGGAAUAUUCUUAGUGGCGGACGGGUGAGUAACGCGUGAACGAUCUGCCCCGUACAAAGGGAUAACCUCGGGAAACCGGGAUUAAAACCAUAUAACGCUUUAGUACCGCAUGGUAAUAAAGUCAAAUCGAUUAAGAGGUAUGGGAUGAGUUCGCGUCUGAUUAGCUAGUUGGUGAGGUAAGGGCUCACCAAGGCGACGAUCAGUAGCCGGCCUGAGAGGGUGAACGGCCACACUGGAACUGAGACACGGUCCAGACUCCUACGGGAGGCAGCAGUGGGGAAUAUUGCACAAUGGAGGGAACUCUGAUGCAGCGACGCCGCGUGAGUGAAGAAGGUCUUCGGAUCGUAAAACUCUGUCCUUGGUGAAGAAAAGGACGGUAGCCAAGGAGGAAGCCCCGGCUAACUACGUGCCAGCAGCCGCGGUAAUACGUAGGGGGCGAGCGUUGUCCGGAUUUACUGGGCGUAAAGGGUGAGUAGGCGGUUAUAUAUGUCAGGUGUAAAAAGCUAUGGCUUAACCAUAGUAAGCACUUGAAACUGUAUGACUUGAGUGCAGGAGAGGUAAGCGGAAUUCCUAGUGUAGCGGUGAAAUGCGUAGAUAUUAGGAGGAACACCAGUGGCGAAGGCGGCUUACUGGACUGUAACUGACGCUGAGACACGAAAGCGUGGGUAGCAAACAGGAUUAGAUACCCUGGUAGUCCACGCUGUAAACGAUGAGUGCUAGGUGUUGGGUAGCGAUAUUCAGUGCCGGAGUAAACACAAUAAGCACUCCGCCUGGGGAGUACGUACGCAAGUAUGAAACUCAAAGGAAUUGACGGGGACCCGCACAAGCAGCGGAGCAUGUGGUUUAAUUCGAAGCAACGCGAAGAACCUUACCAAGGCUUGACAUCCCCUUGACCAGUGCAGAGAUGUACUCUCUUCUUCGGAAGCAAGGGAGACAGGUGGUGCAUGGUUGUCGUCAGCUCGUGUCGUGAGAUGUUGGGUUAAGUCCCGCAACGAGCGCAACCCUUAUCCUUAGUUGCCAGCAUAUAAGGUGGGCACUCUAAGGAGACUGCCGGUGAUAAACCGGAGGAAGGUGGGGAUGACGUCAAAUCAUCAUGCCCCUUAUGUCUUGGGCUACACACGUGCUACAAUGGUCGGUACAACGGGGAGCGAAGGAGUGAUCCGGAGCAAAUCCCAAUAAACCGAUCCCAGUUCGGAUUGCAGGCUGCAACUCGCCUGCAUGAAGUCGGAGUUGCUAGUAAUCGCGAAUCAGCACGUCGCGGUGAAUGCGUUCCCGGGUCU